GUGAUGUUUGGAUUGGGGGACCAGAUAGAUCCGUGUCCAGAGAAGCCGUCUUUCCGUCGUGCCGCCGCGUUGUAUGAGGGAUUUUUGGUCCACUGGCUGAACACCGAGGAAGCUCUCACUGUCCCGCGACGCUGUGCUGGGGCGGGGUCUGGUGUUUGGUGGCUUCGGCCAUUCGUGCUUGAAAGGGUCCCGGUUUUAGUGCGGAUACACUCAACAGCCAGGUACAACACUACGCACCGGACACUGCACACUGGACGCUGUCCACACUUGAACAAGCAUGGCGAUUCGGUUUUUUUUUUUUUUUUGCCCAGCCUUGUUGCUGUUGUUAUCAUCCCGCGCUUCGGGAUUAGGGACAGACAGGCACGAUACAAGGGUAACUACAUGGUUUGGCAGAGAGCGGUCAGCAGCCUAACUAACUCCAAAGAUACUCUUAACCUCGCGCUGUCAAAGAGCCAACCCAAUACUGAGCCUUUGAACAGGGCGAGGGGCCUUGCCCAGCUUCUUUUGUCCAGUACAUGCACACACACACACACACACACACACACGCGAUGCUGAUUCCCUGGAUGGUUCUUUUGAACCAAGGGACUUGCAGCUGUGUACGACAAGGAGCCCCCUUACAGCACAGGGACAGCUAGUGGAUAUACUGCGUGGUUGCUGCGCUGCAGAUCGCAACGACAAGAAAUUCGUCAAAUUCAGCAUCACCUAAACCGCUCCUGUUUCCUUUUUCGCUCCGUUUCCUUAAUAUUCCCUUAUAUCUUUUACCCGUACAUAUCUCUUACCCGCCAUAGCCCCCGGGAUCAUAAACACAUGUCGACAGGGCGGGCCAGGAAGGAAAUAGAACGCUUCCCGCUCCCUGCCUGGCUCCGUUGCUCGCCUUGGCUCCGCUACUUACCUCCGCAGUAAGGUAUCAGCUGGCUGCUCAACCCAUGAUGUCAUUCAUCUCUGCCAACCAACCAACCAACCAACCAAUAACUGCCCAAAAGACGCUUGCGAUGUGUCAAUCUCAUGUCCCUGGAUCCUUCCGUGUGUGUGUGUGUGUGUGUGCGCGAAAGAUUAAAAAGAAAAAAAAAAAAUUCAACUCUCUCGAGAUUGGUCAACCAGCUUAGGGGCUUUCCUUCAAUUUCAAGCACAUCUUCAAUCUCCACUGCACCUGAUCACCGCGUACGCGUGCACCUCAUCAAUCAAUCAAUCAAUAUUUUUUCUUCUCUCCGCCAUAGCCGUAUUGCCGAAUAUAACCAAGGAAUGUGAAAUAAAAAAAAAAAAAAAAAAAAAAAAGGCAAGCAUCCAUCCCCUCCUUUCCCUUGGGGCGUUGUGUUUUGGGGAUUUGUUUGCGAUUGGAGCUAGUUAUACGUUGUACUGUAGAAUAAGCUACAUGUACGGAUAUAUCGUCGUCACAAGAGCGGAGAUUUUUUUUUUAAAUUAACUCUGGUGCUUACCCUCCUCCUAUCCGGUUCAUAUGGCUUUCUUUUUUUUUUUUUUUCUUUUUUUCUUUGUGUUUUUUCAUUGUUUUCUGAGAAAUUCGGUUAUUUGCUGGAAUUCACUUCCCUCUAAUCGGGGCCCCUUCUUUUUUAUCAACCUCGCGGACUCCAUCCGUUUGAAAUGUGGAAUGUAUGUGAAGCCUUUUUUUGCUUCAGAUGAAAUAAAAACAAACGAAACAUAGUGCGUGU
rnacentral:sRNA from 1 species